GAAAGAACGCAGCGAAAUGCGAUAAGUAAUGUGAAUUGCAGAAUUCAGUGAAUCAUCGAGUCUUUGAACGCACAUUGCGCCCCCUGGUAUUCCGGGGGGCAUGCCUGUCCGAGCGUCAUUGCCGCCCUCAAGCACGGCUUGUGUGUUGGGCCCCCGCCCCCCGGCUUCGGGGGGCGGGCCCGAAAGGCAGCGGCGGCACCGCGUCCGGUCCUCGAGCGUAUGGGGCUUCGUCACCCGCUCUGUAGGCCCGGCCGGCGCCCGCCGGCGACCCCAAUCAAUCUUUCCAGGUUGACCUCGGAUCAGGUAGGGAUACCCGCUGAACUUAAGCAUAUCAAUAAGCGGAGGA
rnacentral:misc_RNA from 1 species